AUGAUACUAUCUUGCACCUCACUACAUUCUUGACUUGUUAGCAGAUAGAUGGGGUGUAAUGAAACUUGAGUUAGAGUCUGUUUAAAUAUGAUAACAACAAGUCUCUAUUGUCCUUGCAAUUCUAGUUUCAUACAGUAAUACUUAUUCAAAUUUCGAGUUAAGAUUUGGAAAUUCCUGACUGAUGAAGUUUGUGGGUAACUUCACUGCAAACCCUCACGAGACAACACUCGUCCGCUAGGGUAACCUAGGGGUUUAACGGCUUGUUGCACAUGCUAAGUGCAAUCGUAAUGCUCUACGAAAGUGAGUAUUUAUCUUAGGAUAUUUAUAUAAUAAAUAACACAUUUGCUCUCUCAUUUUAUCAUUUUCGCACUGAAUUGCUAGAGACUAGCAAUAAGCUAGUUGGAGGGUGUGAUGAGAGCACAAAAGUGCGACCUACAUGUUACUAAAAUUAGUGUUAUUGCUAACUAAUAAUGAUAAAUUCACUAGAUUAAUAUUAUAUUCGGGUUUAACAUAGAUUAGUAUAAAUUAGAGAUAAAAUGCACAUUGAGUACAAAUUUGACUUCAAAUCGGGUCCGA
rnacentral:lncRNA from 1 species